GGCCUGGUGGCGAGUGGCGAACGGGUGAGUAAUACAUCGGAACGUGCCCGAUCGUGGGGGAUAACGAAGCGAAAGCUUUGCUAAUACCGCAUACGAUCUACGGAUGAAAGCAGGGGACCGCAAGGCCUUGCGCGAACGGAGCGGCCGAUGGCAGAUUAGGUAGUUGGUGGGAUAAAAGCUUACCAAGCCGACGAUCUGUAGCUGGUCUGAGAGGA
rnacentral:rRNA from 11 species